UACGAAGGGGGCGAGCGUUGUUCGGAUUUACUGGGCGUAAAGGGCGCGCAGGCGGCUCAUUUUGUCAGGCGUGAAAGCCCCGGGCUUAACCUGGGAACUGCGUUUGAUACGGAUGGGCUAGAGUUCGGGAGAGGAGAGUGGAAUUCCCAGUGUAGAGGUGAAAUUCGUAGAUAUUGGGAAGAACACCGGUGGCGAAGGCGGCUCGCUGGGACGGUACUGACGCUGAGGCGCGAAAGCGUGGGGAGCGAACAGG
rnacentral:rRNA from 1 species